rnacentral:sRNA from 1 species
UAGGGACAGGCUUGUUUGUUCGCCUC